AGCUUCAUCGUCUUCCAGCGUCGAGUCUCUUCCUCCCCCUCCCCGACACUUCAUCUUCUCCAAACGUAUGCUUUUACCGUUACUUUCUCAAUCAAUGACGCUGUCAAAGCUAUUCUUCAAUGUUGUGGUCCAUCUCCCCUUGAUACUUCUCUUAUAUAAAUCUCUGUCUCAAAACCUAAAACCACCCUAAAUUAAAAAACCUAAUCUGCAAAAAAUACAUUCAUGGCAAUGAAAUAGUCUCAGCUUAUCACCAGAAAAUAUCCCGUCGCCAUGUGUUUCAACGACAUCUCACCAUGAUGUUCUGAGUCACAGCUUCAAUUCAGGAAACAAAUCUCGGACGCCUAGAUCUGGAAACCAUGAAGCAUCUGAACCCAAAACUAUGACUAAUGUUCACAGGGACGGCAAUGACGGGGACGAUAGAGAAGAAGGGACAACAAUCGUUGAGAUAUUAAAAAAAAACAGCCUUUAGAUAAAAUACUCCUAGGAGGGAGACAAAAAUGAGAGGACUAAAUCAUCUUCAGAUGCUCGAACCAGUGCUCGUGCUUGAAUCGACCAUCCUUGCUUCCGCCUUCCGGUUGGUUUAAAGAAAGGUGCAGCCAAGUGUGUAAGAAAUCCAAGGUGUCUAAUGCUAACUUCCACUGGACACAACUUUAAUGGAUGGAAACCAUACCUAUGGUCUGAAUUAUUAACCCUUGAGUUGCUUAGCAAGUGAUGCUUAGUACUGAACCAACAACUAAGCUCACAUUUGCAGUCUCAGUGUUUAUGAUUUUCGCUCCUGGUUUGUAGAGACAGAGGGUAAAAGCUAUGAUCGGGUCAGUCGGACAGAGAUCGCGAUGUUGGUGAGAUUACAAGUUUGGAUUAGACAAGGGAGCAAUCGUUUGUGUAGGAGAACCAAAGGCUUCCGAGCUCCAGAGGAUUCCUUCUGACGUGUGGUCAGCAGGAGUAAGAUUAACUUUGUCUCAUUGAUUUGUUAGGAUUGCAGAGCCUGGUUUGUUAAUCCUCUCUCUUUUAUACCAAAUUAGUUUCUGCUCUAUUGAACAUAAUUGCAUUUCCAUUUUCUCUUCCUGGACAUUGAGAGAUCAUGAAGAAUUCGAGGUUAAGAUCAAUGGUUUAGUUGAAACUGCACCAGUUCCUGAAGAAGUCUAGAAUAUCCACUACGGUACUCUUUGGCCCGGUAAUAAUGUGCCAUGAUCAAGGUCUUCCUUGGAAACAAAGGUCUUAACGAUGUAGAAACCUACGAGCUCCCUAGGCUGGUUUAUGUUCUCGUGAGGAGGGAGCCCAGAUCCGACCAUCUUAAGAAGGUUGAAGAAAUAACUUUAUUGGUAAACGAUUAAGCUUAAUCUUUGAUUGUAUUAUUUAAACUUAAAUAUAAUGUUCUCUCGCAAACUUAACUGUGAUCACUACAUCAACAAUAGCAAAGCUCACAGGAGCAAUGUGUUUCCCAAAGGAUCCUUAGUCGGGAAAAAGCUCUGUUAUGUCAAUUCCCUGAACAAGCACUAUUAUUAGCAGCACUUGAAAGUUGACCAUCAUGACUAUUUUUUUAUCCCCACCCACAACAAAGAGACUUCUUACGGUAAAAAAUAACAUAUAUCAACUCUAGGGUCAUGUAUCUGUGAUUUCCAUCGUUUCCUCCCCAAAUAGAGUUUUCCAAGGAGCUAGAAAACAGAGAAUGUGAGUUUUGGAAUCCGGGACAUACGGAUUUGCAACACUUGAAGUAGUGUUCUUGAACAACGUCCUAAACUAGAAAGUGCAAACACUGAACGGCUCAAGGAACCAUGGACACUCUCGAUUUUGAAUCUGGCAUUUCAUUAAAUGUAAUCCAAUAUGCAGCAGAGAAUCCAAGC